CCUCCUUCUCUCUGCAACAAGAAAAAAAAAAAGCCAUUUACAGGGGGUGAUGUGCAACUAAUUAAAGGCAGACUGGCAGCGUCUGCAAAUCCUAAGGCUCCCCAAAUAAAAAGAGACUGUUGUAACAGUUGGAGGAUAAUGCAAAGGAAGACGCUGCCUGGAAAUUCGCCGUCUGUGGAUAUGUGCCCCAGAGAGGAAUAAAGCAACCGUUCACGAUCUGUCUUCCCCCCCUCACCCCUCCAACCUCGACCCAUCUUUCCCUCCUAACCAGGCCCCCACCCCAACACCAACCAUCACCCCCUUCCCUCCUCCCCACCUCCCCCCCUUUCCCGCCCAGGUGUCGGACCAGGCGCCCCCCUCUUCCACCCUGCACCCCUUCU